GUUUAGUGGCAAACGGGUGAGUAACGAGUACGAACGUACUCUUAAGCGGAGGAUAGCCCACCGAAAGGUGGAGUAAUACUCCAUGUAGUCGCAAGACUAAAGACGCAAGUCACUUAAGAAGCGGCGUACUUACUACCAGCUAGUUGGUGAGGUAACGGCUCACCAAGGCUAUGACGGUUACCGGCUCUUAGCGGAGAGUCCGGCACAAUGGGACUGAGACACGGCCCAUACUUCUACGGAAGGCAGCAGUUAGGAAUUUUGCGCAAUGGACGAAAGUCUGACGCAGCGACACCGCGUGUGGGAUGAAGGCCUUAGGGUCGUAAACCACUUUUUUAUCUUCAUGAAGUAGGUAAGAAUAAGGAACUACUAACUACGUGCCAGCAGUCGCGGUAAUACGUAGGUUCCAAGCGUUACCCGGUUUUAUUGGGCGUAAAGAGUCUGCAGGCGGCUUUAUAAGUCUUGUUUCAAAGACUCCGACUCAAUCGGAGACAGGGGCAAGAUACUGUAUCGCUAGAGUGAUAUCGGGGUUACUGGAAUUUUCAGUGUAGGGGUAAAAUCCGUGGAUACUGAAAAGAACACCAAGCGCGAAGGCGGGUAACUAGGUAUAUACUGACGCUCAGAGACGAAAGCUAGGGUAGCCAAUCAGAUUAGAGACCUGAGUAGUCCUAGCCGUAAACAUUGUCCGUUAAUUCUUCCCGAUUUAUCGGGGGGGAUGUAAGCUAACGCGUUAAACGGACCGCCUGGGGAGUAUAGCCGCAAGGCCGAAACUCAAACGAAUUGGCGGGGAGGCGCACAACCAGUGGAGCAUGUGGUUCAAUUCGAUACGAAGCGAUGAACCUUACCUGGGCUUGAAAUGUAUCUGCACGGUCCCGGAAACGGGAUCAGCCUUCGAGGGUGAUACACAGGUGUUGCAUGGCUGUCGUCAGCUCGUGACGUGAGUUGUUCUCUUAAGUGAGGUAACGAGCGCAACCCCCAUUCUGUGUUACUGUGUCACAGAAGACUGCCUAGCAUUAUUUUGUUAGGAGGAAGGAGGGGACGACGUCAAGUCAUCAUGAUCCUUAUGUCCAGGGCUACACACAUCCUACAAUGGAUAUUAACAGAGGGUUGCAAUACCGCGAGGUGGAGCUAAUCCCUAAAAGUAUCCUCAGUUGGGACUGCAGGCUGAAACUCGCCUGCACGAACCCGGAAUUGGUAGUAAUCGCACAUCAGCAGCGUGCGGUGAAUACGUUCUCGCCUCUUGCACACACUGCCCGUCAAAUCAGCAAAGUUGGGGGUACCCAAAGUCUUACGUUUCGUCGGACCAAGGUAAAUCCAGCGAUGAGGGUUAAGUCGUAACAAGGUA
rnacentral:rRNA from 1 species